rnacentral:misc_RNA from 1 species
CCACCGCCACAUUGGCUUUGGCAGGUGGCACCACAGUAAUCAGGCGUGUUACCACACCAACCAAAUUGGCUACAACAUAGGCCUCCUGGGCAUAAGGCACCCCCAGCUUGCCUUCCACAUUGCUCAGCUGAAGUUCCAAGCAAAAGGUACGCCAACAGCAGACAAGAAACUGUGAAAGCCGAAGCCCUCAUGUCUAUAUAUGUUAUUUUUGUGAUAUAAUUAU